UAGGUUAAUAAAUAUUUACCGAAGACAGUAGGUGACGCAAGUCUUAAUUUCCUACCGAGGAUCAUACUAUGUGCAAACAUAUAAUAAUCCCUCUAUGUCUAAGGUGACAUGGGGCUUUUUGCUUUUCAUG
rnacentral:sRNA from 1 species